GGGCUUUAUGACAGGCUGUUGACGUGUACGAGGGAGAUGUGCAUGUCCUCUUCUCUGGGCUUCUGGAGGACUGGAGGGGACCUGUAGGUGGCCCUUUGGGGAAUGGGGAGAUUUUUAGAUCCUGAUGGAAUCUCUGGGAGCCUCCCCCAUCUUCCUAGUGAAGAUCCUGCUCCUGGUCCAGCCUUAUUCCCAGAUGAACAGUGGAUGCAGGAAGUCGUCAUUGCCUGCCAGACAGGCCACCUCCUGGGGCAGAGGCCAUGACCUUAACCACAAGUGUCCCGCCACCCCCCCCACCCUGACCCUCUGUCCCCCCCACCCCCACCCCUGCCCAGAGCUCCAGAGACUGAAAGGUUGAGACUGUCCUGGGAGGCGGAUGUGUGCAGGCCUGCCUGGCUGGGGACUUCCCCGGUCACCACCACCCACCCUCAUCCCAACAGGAAACCUGACAGGUCUGAGCCUUCCAGACACCCAUUGUGUGUGGCCUAGUGUGGGCUCCGAUGCUUCCCCUGUCAGGACUCCUGUCGCCCCUAGCCUCCUCCUGUCCCUUGACAAAGCUGGCUAUUAAAGAAAGUUCUAGACUGUU